AUUAGAUACCCCAAUAGUCAAAGCAGAAAAUGAUGAAUGUCAUAGAUUAGAUAAACAAUUUAUUCUAUAAAUGAAAGUGUAAGCAUUCCACCUCAAGAGUAAUUUGGCAACAUUGGAACUGAAAUCAUUAGACCGUUUCUGAAACCAGUAGUGAAGUAUGUUGUUUAAUUUGAUAAUACGCAAAAAACCUUACCACAAUUUGAAUAUUUAUAUAUAUCUUUUAUUGGUUUUUACUAAUAUAUUUGUAGACAAUUAAAAUGAUGCUUAUACCCCGUUUGUGAGACUAAGCAUCAAAAAAGAUAAUAUAUUUACAAGCGUUGCACGGCUGUCUUCAGUUAAUGUCGUGAGAUUUUGGUUAGUUCCAUUAAAUUAACGUAAACCCUUACUUUAUUUUUAUAUAAAGUAGUUCUCCGCUAUAUUGGAUAUGAUAACAGGGACUAAGACAAG
rnacentral:rRNA from 1 species